AAUGAAAUGCCUGAAUAAAGGGUUAUUUUGAUAGAAUAAAUUAUAUAAUAAAAAUUAUUUUCAUUA
rnacentral:tRNA from 1 species